rnacentral:hammerhead_ribozyme from 1 species
AUCCGUCUGACGAGUCCCAAAUAGGACGAAAUGCGCGUCCUGGAU